GAGGGUAUAGCUCAGCAGUAGAAUGUGUGCCUAGCACGCACGAGGUCCUGGGUUCAAUCCCCAGUCCCUCCA
rnacentral:tRNA from 1 species